rnacentral:rRNA from 1 species
UACGUAGGUGGCGAGCGUUGUCCGGAUUUACUGGGCGUAAAGCGUGCGCAGGCGGUUUUGUAAGUUUGUCGUGAAAGCCCCGGGCUCAACCUGGGAAUUGCGAUGAAGACUGCAAGGCUUGAAUCUGGCAGAGGGGGGGUAGAAUUCCACGUGUAGCAGUGAAAUGCGUAGAGAUGUGGAGGAACACCGAUGGCGAAGGCAGCCCCCCUGGGUCAAGAUUGACGCUCAUGCACGAAAAGCGUGGGGGAGCAAACAGG